GCUCAGGUCACGUUCUGAGCCUGCUUCUCACUCCUGCCCCCUCCCACCCUCCUGGUUCUGCCAUGGACAAGCUGAAGUCUCUCUGGGACCAGGGGACCCGCAUGGCCCAGCCACCCCACCCCACCAUCUCCCAGGCAUGUGAGAAAAUAUCACAUUCUCUGUGUUUUGGAGAUUUCUUCUAAAUGUAUUUUCCAACUAUCAUUUCAUAGCAAAUCAGCGAGAAAAAAGGGGCUUCCUGGAGCUCCUGCAACCCCAGGCAUUAGUUCCAGUGCAGUUCUAGGAUCAGAUCAAUUCACUCGACAACAAGAGAAACAAAUGGAGAUUCCUACACAAAGACUUUCAAGCACAAAGAAAUCCUGCUGCCUGUAAAGUGGAGCUGCCUCAGCUCUUGAUGAACGACAGAAAAUCUCACAUUCCAGGAAUUCAGAUGAAGUGAAGUGCUCUCAUGGGGACCAGGCAUGGUUAUUCCAGUCCACUGCCCUGCAAGCCUCAAGGGAAGCCAACUGCCCUUCAGCAAGUCACACCUGCCUUGGUGGAGGCCUUGAUUGGAAGUGCCACACGCUACAUGUCCAGUCCUGAGCGGGAGAAUCGGUGUAGGGACGUUGUGGGGAUGCCGGCUGUGGCCAGAUCAGGUCCAGCUACAGAAGAAUGAAGACUCCACCUGAGGGCUGGAAAAACAAAACCUCAAGUGUGAGGCAGCCAACCUGUUACCUCGAGGGACUGUCCCGCAGCACAGCGGGGCCAUGGGAACAGCAGCAGACACCCCGGCCUCCUCGCUACCU
rnacentral:lncRNA from 1 species